UAACAUUUGUAUGUGAAGCCUUAAUCCCC
rnacentral:piRNA from 1 species